rnacentral:rRNA from 1 species
GACAGAGGGUGCAAACGUUGCUCGGAAUCACUGGGCGUAAAGGGCGUGUAGGCGGGGAGGUAAGUCGGGCGUGAAAUCCCUAGGCUCAACCUAGGAACUGCACUCGAAACUACCUUCCUUGAGUGUCGGAGAGGAAAGCGGAAUUCCUGGUGUAGCGGUGAAAUGCGCAGAUAUCAGGAAGAACACCCGUGGCGAAGGCGGCUCUCUGGGACGGUACUGACGCUGAGACGCGAAAGCGUGGGGAGCGAACAGG